rnacentral:lncRNA from 1 species
UUUAAACAAGUAAUAAACAGAAACAAAAAUAGACAUGUACCCUGGGCUGGGGCUAGUGCCGGAGGUAUCGGAUGCUCCGUUACCAUCUGGAUUAGUCAUACUAGUCGUGGGAUGGUCUCAGUCGAUGUAGUCGUACAAUAAUGAUGCAGGAAGAGGUCGUUGCAGUGGAGUCCCUCGAACGGCCUCCAAGAAGAAGAGGAAGUAGUCGAUCAGCGUCUC